rnacentral:rRNA from 1 species
UACAGAGGUCCCAAGCGUUGUUCGGAUUCACUGGGCGUAAAGGGUGCGUAGGUGGCUUGGUAAGUUCGAUGUGAAAUCUCCGGGCUUAACCCGGAAAUGGCAUUGAAUACUAUUGAGCUGGAGGUUUGGAGGGGGACUGGAAUUCUCGGUGUAGCAGUGAAAUGCGUAGAUAUCGAGAGGAACACCAGUGGCGAAGGCGAGUCCCUGGACAACACCUGACACUGAGGCACGAAAGCUAGGGGAGCAAACAGG